rnacentral:rRNA from 1 species
GGGGGGCGGUUACCACUUUGUGGAUCAUGACUGGGGUGAAGUCGUAACAAGGUAGCCCUAGGGGAACCUGGGGCUGGAUCACCUCCUUA